UGCAACUCCAAGUCUAGGAAAUCUAAUGCUCUCUUCUAUCCUCCACAGGCACAGCACAUGUGCAUGUUUGCUAACACAAGUAAAUCUUCCAAAAAGAUUUUAAAAGCUAGAUGUGGUGAAAUAAACCUUUAACCCCAAUACUUGGGAGGCAGAGGGAGGAAGAUUUCUAUGAGUCCAAAGCCAGCCUGGUCUGGAUAGCAAGCUCCAGUGAAGCAAACACACACACACACACACACACACACACACACACACACACACACACACACACACAACACGAAUGAUAUUGGAAACUGUAUAUAGAACUGCCAGUAUUUACAGAAAGUAGCCAGUGGAUUUUCCAGAAGCUCACCACAUCACCGUUUUAAUGAAUAUAGCUUAUGUAAUUAACACUUAUAUAAUCAUGCUUUGAAAAGAUCUCAAUUUCUGUUUUCUUUUUCUCCUUGACAGGGUCAAACUAUAUAAUUCUGGCUGUCCUGGAACUCGCUAUGCAGACCAGGUUGGCUAUAAAAUCACAUAGAGAGGCCUCUGCCUUUUAAGUGCUAGGAUUGAAGGUGUGAAUGUUCAAAGUUAAUUUCCAACAUGGCAAGUAUUGAUUGCUAUAACUCACAAUGCUUCUAGGAAAAUUCCAGUUUUUGAGUGUCAAGGGAUAUAGAAUGCAAAACUUUGAUAACCUGGACUAGAAAGACUCAGUGGUUACCAGUACUUGUUACUCUUGCUGAGGACCUGGGUUCGAUUCCCAGCAUCCACAUGAUAGCUUGAAAUCAUCAGUUCUAAGGGAUCUAGUAUCCCUUUCUGACAUCCAUGUGUAACACACACACACAUGCAAAAUACUCAUAAACAAACCUCUAAUAACCUAAAGCAUUUAUUUUAGCCUGUCAGAACUGGAUGGAGAUGUAUUAAAUCUGUAGUUGCUUGUGCUGAAGCCAAUGAAACUGUGUAUAAAUACUGUGCAUGUGCACGCAUUCUCUUUCCUGGGUGAGUGUUCACAAUUCCAUAAGUGGAAUAAAACCUGUAAGGGCAUUCAAAUGUUUAGAGUUUUUGUUUUUCCCCAACUUCUCCAUCAAAUUUCUUCUUCAUCCUAAAUUAGUCAGUGGAAAUGAAUUACUUAGAGAUGGGAGGUAGUGUUAUCCAGACACUUUAGACUUACGUUCUCUAUCACUC
rnacentral:lncRNA from 1 species